GCUCCUGUAGUCUAGUGGCCAAGGACACUGCCCUCUCGCGGCAGAAACCCGGGUUCAAAUCCCGGCAGGGGCA
rnacentral:tRNA from 1 species